UACGUAGGGAGCAAGCGUUGUCCGGAAUCAUUGGGCGUAAAGCGCGCGUAGGCGGCCCCGUAAGUCCGCUGUGAAAGUCAAAGGCUCAACCUUUGAAAGCCGGUGGAUACUGUGGGGCUAGAGUCCGGAAGAGGCGAGUGGAAUUCCUGGUGUAGCGGUGGAAUGCGCGGAUAUCAGGAGGAACACCAAUAGCGAAGGCAGCUCGCUGGGACGGUACUGACGCUGAGACGCGAAAGCGUGGGGAGCAAACAGG
rnacentral:rRNA from 1 species